UUCAGCGGGGGUGGGGUGGGGGUGGGGUGUUCCGUCCCCCUAGCCUACGCCCCUGAUCAUUUGCUUCCGUCAUGUCUAUAGCAUCGCCAAUGUUUUUCAUUCUGGAACGACCCAAAUAAAACCCCAAACACAAGACAAGAUAACAUACUGAAACAAUGUUAUUGUAAAAUGUAAUAACGACAAUGCAUAUGUAUCUUUUAAUACGUGUCUAUGAAAUAUCAGUCCUGCCCGAACUCUGAAAUAAAACCAGCACGGGCAUAUAAGAAGGUGCCAAAACGUGUGCACACACACAUAUAAAUACAUGUACAUGUAUAAAUAUAUAAAAACCAUCGCUGCUGCUACAAAGUGGGGGACAUGCCCCCUUGUCCCCCCCCCCCCCACGUCCCAUGCCAGUAACCAGUGAUCCCGCAGCUCACAGAGUACAUUUGAAAGAGGGUAGGUGUUGACAGUUCGAUGGUCGGGGGGGGGGGGGGGGGUAAAACACACACACACACACACCCUAAAAUGCAUGUAUUUAAGGGCCUGAACCUGGUAGGGUAGGGGAUUCUUUGGCAUAUUACAUCGAGAAACCUUUAGAUUCCAGGUGUUAAAAUAUAGCAUUUAUAGCCUUCUGAGCACAGUAACAAGGAACAGUGUGUGUGGGGGGUGGGGGGGGGGGGGGGGUGGGGCACAUUUCCCCCAUGUUCCGCGUCCCCUGGCCCCGCUCUUUAUGCGCCGCUUCUACGCUGAAAAGUAGAACUAUGUAUGAUUAUCAUUACUACGACCACUAGCCAUUCACAUUUACACACCGAACAAAACUAGCACUGAAGCAUAGCUUUUACAAACGGCAAGUUAGUACGAAACUAUUUUAAAAUAAUCAUAUGUGAAAUAUGGACAAAAAACAAUUACAGGUCUCCGUAACGGCUCGAAUGGUCUCCCGAGUCGCAGGAAUGAUGGCGGCAGCUGAAGGUAUUGGUUUCGUAGAUUCCAACGACCCUCGGGCUUCUGUUGCCCAUGGUGAUGCAACAUGGGGAAUAAAACUCAAGGACAAGAAACUAAUUUACGACAAAAAUUACGGCUUGGAUUUUCAACCACUUGAAUAAUGUUCAUAUCUAUUAUGGACUUUAAAGAUACAUUUUCAUUAACAAAAGUUCUGUAAAUGUCAGUUCGAUUCAUGAAUUAAUGAACUGGAUGUGUGCGUUUUACAAUUAAAAUGUUAUACUGCCAAAA